CCGAAAACCUCACCCCUGCCAGAAUUCUCCCCCCUUCCCCUUCUAAUUACCUUUAUUUUGUGGCUAGAGUCAAAUACUUUCUGUGGCACACAUCAGUGUCAAAUAGGGGAGGGGGGAGGGAGGGGAACCCAGGGCGUCAUACAAGCUAGAACCGCCACAUACACUUGAAUCAAAGAGCCAAACCGAAAACUGCAGGCAAAAAUGCUUUCUGCUAAGAGCAGUAUAAUGUAGGCUAAACUGACAACGGAGUGAAGAGCAGAAAUCUCGACUUGCAAGCAAGUCGCAGCAAUGAAGAACGCGGGGGUGGGGUACCCCCUGUAUAAAGAGGACCUGAGCCCUAGGACCAUGCCUCAGGACUACCUGGCCUAAUGACUCCUUGCUGUCCCCAGUCCAACUGGUCGUGCUGCUGCUCCAGUUUAAACUAUUCUGCCUGCGGCUAUGGAACUCUGACCUGUUCACCGGACGUGCUACCUUGACCCAGACCUGCUGUUUUCAACUCUCUCUCUCUCUACAGCACCUGCUAUUUCAACCUCUGAAUGCCCGGCUAUGAAAAGCCAAGUGACAUUUACUCCUGAUGUACUGACCUGUUGCACCCUCCACAACCACUGUGAUUAUUAUUUGACCUUGCUGGUCAUCUAUGAGGUCAGUACAGGUGCAUCGAAGCUAUUUUUCAGUCCUUAAAGUCAUCCAUCAUCUCUGUUCCGGCAGUAGCAGUCAGCCAGCCAGGCCAUAUAAUGGUAUCUAUGUGCUCCCCAUACUGUACUGUCUUCCUAUGUAGCUAUAUGCCUAAGUAUGCUGCAGAGCUGUUUGAUUGAAUCAUUUUACUAGUUCUUCAAAGUAGAUAAGGCAUACUUUCACAAACUCGAUCCCUCUCGUUGCGGUCUGUAUGCAUCUAACCCAAUGACUGUAUGAUCUAGCCUAGCAGGCGUAAAAGUGUAUCCGUCCAGAGAUUUGUAUAUAAUGUCACGGCCGUCAGACUGUUAAACAGCCGUGACUAACACAGAGAGGCUGCUGCCUACAUACAGACUUGAAAUCAUUGGUCACUUUAAUAAAUAGAUCACGUGCCACUUUAAUAAUGCCACUUUAAUAAUGUUUACAUAUCUUGCAUUACUCAUCCCAUAUGUAUAUACUGUAUUUUAUACCAUGUAUUGCAUCUUGCCUAUGCCACUCGGUCAUCGCUCACCUCACUCCAAGAUGGCGUAGCAGUUCAGACGUCUUGUCGUUUCCCGUGUACAUAUCUUUUUUUUCUUCAUAUAUUUCGUAUAUAUUUUUAACCUCAAUUUCAACAUACUCUCCAGGAACCCGCUUUAGAACCAGAACCCCCAACAGAAGCUAGCCAGCUAACUAGCUAGUAGUCAGUUAGCCACUGCUAGCAGUCAUCAGCUAACCUUAGCCUGGUCAACUCCUGCCAGUCUGCACAGCGCGAUUCAACCCAGAGCAUACCUGACUGCUUUUUCUCCACAUCUCCGGAUUCCUACCGAAAGCGCUGAACAUUUUCACCUGGAUCAUCGCAGCUAGCAAGCUGCUAUCCGAGUGGCUACCACUGGCUAACGUCUCUGUCACGAAGCAAGCAACAGUUAGCCUGGAACUAGCCUCGUACUAGGCCCAUCUCCCGGCUAACUGAAGAGGUCCAUCAGCCAUUCCUUGGGCUACAAUACCUAUUUUGCCAAUUGGCCUGGACCCCUUUUACUGCCGACACGUAGCCCCGCUGAUCCAUCACCGACGUAAUCCGUCCGAGGGGGUUUCAAUAGGCUCCUCCGUCGCAACGUCCCCUGAAGGCCCAUCUGCUAGCUGUCUAGAGCAUAUCGGACUGUUAGCUGAAGAGGUCCAUCAGCCAAUUUCUUGGGCUACAAUACCUAUUUUGCCAAUUGGCCUGGACACUGUUACUGCGUACACAGAGCCCUGCUGAUCCAUCACGACUGGUCUGCCGACGUAACCGUCCGAGGGGGCUACAACCCUCUUCCGUCGUGACGUCCCCCAAAGGCCCUUCUGCUAACCUGCUAGCCCCGGCCCGCUAGCUGUCUGAAUCGCCGUGUCUCCAGCUCGCCAAGCUACCCACUGGUCCCUAUGAUCACUCGGCUACGCAUGCAUCUCCUAAUGUCAAUAUGCCUUGUCCAUUGCUGUUUUGGUAAGUGAUUGUCUUAUUUCACUGUAGAGCCUGCAGCCCUGCUCAAUAUGCCUUAGCUAGCCCUUUUGCUCCACCUCCCACAUGUGGUGACCUCACCUGGUUUAAAUGUCUCUAGAGACAAAACCUCUCUCAUCAUCACUCAAUGCCUAGGUUUACCUCCACUGUAUUCACAUCGUACCAUACCCUUGUCUGUACAUUAUGCCUUGAAUCUAUACUCCUUUUACUCUCUGUUCCGAACGCACUAGAUGACCAGUUCUUAUAGCCUUUAGCCGUAUCCUUAUCCCACUCCUCCUCUGGUGAUGUAGAGGUUAAUUAAAAGCCUUGGUUUCAUGCAUGUUAAAAUCAGAAGCCUCCUCCCUAACUUUUUUUCUUCUCACUGCUUUAGCACUGCCAACCCGGAUGUCCUAGCCGUGUCUGUAUCCUGGCUUAGGAAGCCCACCAAAAAUUCUGAAAUGUACAUCCCUAACUAUAACAUUUUCUGACAAGAUAUAACUGCCAAAGGGGGCGGAGUUAGCUUGCAGAGUUCUGUCAUGCUAUCCAGGUCUGUGCCCAAACAAUUCAAGCUUCUACUUCUAAAAAUCCACCUUUCCAGAAACAAGUCUCUUACCGUUGCCGCUUGUUAUAGACCACCUUCUGCCCCCAGCUGUGCCCUGGACACCAUAUGUGAAUUGAUUGCCCCCCCAUCGGUCUUCAGAGCUCGUAGUGUUAGAUGACCUAAACUGGGACAUGCUUAACACCCCGGCCGUCCUACAAAUCUAAGCUAGAUGCCCUCAAUCUCACACAAAUUAUCAAUGAAUUUACCAGGUACAACUCCAAAUCCGUAAACACGGGCACCCUCAUAGAUAUCAUCCUGACCAACCUGCCCUCUAAAUACACCUCUGCUGUCUUCAACCAGGAUCUCAGCGAUCAUUGCCUGCGUCCGUAAUGGGUCUGCGGUCAAACGACCACCCCUCAUCACUGUCAAACGCUCCCUAAAGCACUUCAGCGAGCAGGCCUUUCUAAUCAACCUGGCCCGGGUAUCCUGGAAGGAUAUUGACCUCAUUCCGUCAGUAGAGGAUGCCUGGUUAAUCUUAAAGUGCUUUCCUCACCAUCUUAAAUAAGCAUGCCCCAUUACAUUUUUUUUUAACCAGGAACAGAUCUAGUCCUUGGUUCACUCCAGACCUGACUGCCCUUGACCAGCACAAAAACAUCCUGUGGAGUACUGCUUUAGCAUCGAAUAGCCCCCGCGAUAUGCAACUUUUCAGGUUAGUUAGGAACCAAUACACACAGGCAGUUUGAAAAAUCUAGCCUUUACUUUCCUAACAGAAAUUUGCAUCCUGUAGCACAAACUCAAAUGUUCUGGACUCUAAAGUCCAUGGACCAGCUGCCCACUGCACUGAGGCUAGGAAACAUUGUCACCACCGAUAAAUCCACGAUAAUUGAGAAUUUCAAUAAGCAUUUUUCUACUGCUGGCCAUUGCUUUCCACCUGGCUACCUCUACCUUGGUCAACAGCCCUGCACCCUCCACAGCAAAUUGCCCAAGCCUCCCCCAUUUCUUCUUCACCCAAAUCCAGAUAGCUGAUGUUUUGAAAGAGUUGCAAAAUCUGGAUCCUUAGAAAUCAGCUGGGCUAGACAAUCUGGACCCUCCCUUUCUAAAAUGAUCUGCCGCAAUUGUUGCAACCCCUAUUACUAGCCUGUUCAACCUCUCUUUCGUAUCGUCUGAGAUCCCCAAAGAUUGGAAAGCUGCCGCGGUCAUCCCCCUCAUCAAAGGGGGAGACACUCUAGACCCAAACUGUUACAGACCUUUAUCUAUCCUACCCUGCCUUUCUAAGGUCUUCAAAAGCAAAGUUAACAAACAGAUCUCCGAACAUUUUGAAUCCGACCGUACCUUCUCCGCUAUGCAAUCUGGUUUCCGAGCUGGUCAAGGGUGCACCUCAUCCACGCUCUAGGUCCGAAACGAUAUCAUUACCGGCAUUGAUAAAAGACAAUACUGUGCAGCCGUAUUCAUCGACCUGGCCACGGUUUUCGACUCUGUCAAUCACCACAUUCUUAUCGGCAGACUCAACAGCCUUGGUUUCUCAAAUGACUGCCUCACCUGGUUCACCAACUACUUCUCAGACAGAGUUCAGUGUGUCAAAUUGGAGGGCCUGUUGACUGGACCUCUGGCAGUCGCUAUGGGGGUGCCACAGGGUUCAAUUCUCGGGCUGACUCUUUUCUCUGUAUACAUCAAUGAUGUCGCUCUUGCUGCUGGUGAUUCUCUGAUCCACCUCUACGCAGACGACACCAUUCUGUAUACAUCUGGCCCUUCUUUGGACACUGUGUUAACUAACCUCCAGACGAGCUUCAAUGCCAUACAACUCUCCUGCCGUGACCUCCAACUGCUCUUAAAUGCAAGUAAAACUAAAUGCAUGCUCUUCAACCGAUUGCUGCCUGCACCUGUCCAGCCUCACUACUCUGGACGGUUCUAUGUUAGAAUUUGUGAACAAAUACAACUACAAAUACCUAGGUGUCUGGUUAGACUGUAAACUCUCCUUCCAGACUCACAUUACGCAUCUCAAAUCCAAAAUUAAAUCUAGAAGAAUCGGCUUCCUAUUUCGCAACAAAGCAUCCUUCACUCAUGCUGCCAAACAUACCCUCGUAAAACUGCCGAUCCUUGACUUCGGCGAUGUCAUUUACAAAAUAGCCUCCAACACUCUACUCAGCAAAUUGGAUGCAGUCUGUCACAGUGCCAUCCGUUUUGUCACCAAAGCCCAAUAUACUACCCACCACUGCGACCUGUAUGCCCUCGUUGGCUGGCCCUCACUUCAUAUUCGUCGCCAAAACCACUGGCUCCAGGUCAUCUAUAAGUCUUUGCUAUGUACAGCCCCGCCUUAUCUCAGCUCACUGGUCAACUUAGCAACACGCGCUCUAGCAGGUAUAUGUCACUGGUCACCCCCAAAGCCAAUUCCUACUUUGUCCGCCUUUCCUUCCAGUUCUCUGCUGCCAAGGACUGGAACAAUUUGCAAAAGAAAAUAACUGAAGCUGGAGACGCCCAUCUCCCUCACUAACUUUAAGCAUCAGCUGUCAGAGCAGCUCACCGAUCACUGCACCUAUACAUAGCCCAUCCAUCUACCUCAUCCCCAUAUUGUUAUUUAUUUUUUUGCUCCUUUGCACCCCAGUGCUUGCACAUUCAUCUUCUGCACAUCUAUCACUCCAGUGUUUUAUUGCUGAAUUGUAAUUACUUCGACACUACGGCCAAUUUAUUGCCUUACCUCACUAAUCUUCUCAUUUGCACACACUGUAUAUAGAUUUUUUCUAUUGUGUUAUUGACUGUACGUUUAUUUAUUCCAUGUAUAACUGUGUUUGUGUCGCACUGCUUUGCUUUAUCUUGGACAGGUCGCAGUUGUAAAUGAGAACUUGUUCUCAACUGGCCUACCUGGUUAAAUAAAGGUGAAAUAUAUAUAUAUAUUUUUUUAAAUAUAUUUAUUCUUAUUCCAUCCCUUUUCUUAAAUGUGUGUAUUAUGUAGUUGUGGAAUUGUUAGAUUACUUGUUAGAUAUUACUCCACUGUUGGAACUAGAAGCACAAGCAUUUCGCUACACUCGCAAUAACAUCUGCUAACCAUGUGUAUGUGACCAAUAACAUUUUAUUUUAUUUGAUGAAUGUUUGAACAUCUUGAAGACCAAUCCGGCCAUGUACUGUUAUAAUCUCCACCCGGCACAGCCAGAAGGGGACUGGCCACCCCUCAGAGCCUGGUUCCUCUCUAGGUUUCUUCCUACAGUAGGUUCCUGCCUUUCUCGGGAGUUUUUCCCAGCCACCAUUCUUCUACAUCUGCAUUGUUUGGGGUUUUAGGCUGGGUUUCUGUAUAUCACUUUGACAUCUGCUGAUGUAAAAAGGGCUUUAUAAAUACGUUUGAUUGUCAUGAAACCUAUAACACAAAUUAAUUUGACUUGGUGAAAACCAAUUUUUUGCGACCUAACUUCCUUAUCACUUUUUCCAUGUGAUUUCUUCCUUCACGGACUCCAUGAAAUGAUGACUUCUUCCUAAAUAUACAUUCCCCACUCUCCCCUACCACAAUAUAUGCAAUCUGAAUCAGUUACAGUAUAUGAAUAGUAGGCUACACACAAUGCAUUUCCAAUGUCAUGAAUAGAAUAGAGAAUCACUGAUUGUCAAGGUUGUGUUUUUGAAGCGCUGAUGUUUGAAGUGGGGUUAGAGUGAGUAGACUGAUAUCCACCUACUGCAGCCUCCUACAGAGUCGCGGCCAGUGGUUGAAUGUCUCAACAAUUCUGUGUCCUGUCCCCUGUUAUUUUAUUCUUUAAUGGGAGGGAUCAAAGAGCAUAUACAUUGACAUGUCUCCACAGUCAAUGAGUAACUUCCCCUCAGCUCCAAACCAAAAGGUGCAUGUUACUGCAGUGCUACCAACGGAACUCUAGACACUUUAUAAACUGGCAUAAAGAAAAUGAGAGAUAGAGACUGUGACCAAGUAGAUGUGUGUUUUUGGUGUAUUCUUUUUAACCUGUUUCCAAUCAUAAUCAUUUAGCUGCCAGGGUGCCGGAUGAUAAUCAGACAAGGGGAAUGAUUGUUUUGCUGAGGCUAUAUCUCUUUCAUAUCAAUUCUUAGUAAAGUGCACUGCAAAUUUGAUUAAAAGUGAUGAGUCUUUUGGAUCACACAUUCAAUUUCAUAUUGAGUAUAUUGCCAUUUGUUCAGCCUAGAUAGAAAAGUAGUGGGAUCUGCACACAGUGGAGCACAUGACUGACAUUCUCACAUUGUGAAUGUAACAAUCUGGGUUAUUAUUUUCUUAGGAGGGGUUUUGUAUGUAUUAUAUCAAGGUGGGGCAAACAGUGUAUGAAGGGCAGUGUGCCAGGUCAUGGCCACUGGCAGGUCUACACAUGGUUUAUUUACAAUCAUUGAUUGCCAGGGGGGGUGAGAAUGUCAGUGAAUGUGUGUGUGUGUGCACGCGCAUGUUUGCAUUCCAUAGAUUCACAGAGCCUCUUAGGCAUGUUUUGGACUUCACAUUGUGUGAGCUCCAACUCCCUGCACUGGAUCCUAGUUAGUCCAUUCUUUUAAUCACUGGGGGAAAUACUUCAGCCCAUUAAUCAAGAGCCAAUAGUUACUCUUACAAAAUAUCUGUCUAAGACUAGAGAGACCGAGUUUUCUUUUUACAUCUUUUCCUUAGCACAUAUUCUUUAUAAUCUAAGGAAGGCAUAGAUGUUUAGAGAAUCAAUUGCAAGAAUCUAAGUGGUGGAUCUGAGCCUGUUUACUUUACCCAUGUUGAAAAUUGAUCUUUUACUCUGAACUUGAAGAGGAAAAUAGGAAAUGACAAGGGUCAGGGCUGAGUUAACAGCGUUUCGCUUCAUUAGCUCUAGGCCUGAGGGUAAUCGCUGACUCCUCAGCGUGCCUGUGACAUACUGGCAGCAAGUCCGAAGGCCACCCUUUUAUGACACACAUGGCCUUUCUGUAUGAGCAACUGUGUCUUGUGUUUCCAGGGUCCCUACCUUCAUGGCAAUGGAGAUUUGCAUAGUCUUCUCAGGGAGAGGAGCCUUCUUGCACUGCACUCUUUAAUCUCCCCUAGUAGUAAUUGGUCUCCCAGCAGAAGAGAACUGAUCAAUUUCUACUCCUUGGUGGAAAACCAAUGGCCCACCACUGGCACCUCUCCAGAAGAGCAUCAGACAGACCAAAAAACGAGACAGAUUUAACAAAGAGUAUGGGGGGGGGGGGAUUUAAGUAGCUUUAAAAUGUAGGCCAACCAUUAAUGUGCAAAGGUGGAAGUUAUUCCUCAAAGGUCUUUCUCCGGUUUAUGGAGUGGGGAGUUCUGUUCCAGGUUUCCCUCCAGCUCGGUCUACUCCAGAGCCACCUCCUCUGGGUAAGGCCUGAAGCACAAAGAAAUGUUGAGCAGUACAAUGCCUCAAUUGUAUUUUAAUAAAUAUUUACAAUUAUGCAGAGUCCAUCAUUUAAAAAACAAAAUCUGUUUUAAAAAUCAGGCGAGUCAAAUACAAUGGAAAAGGGUUGAAGGACCUGUGUCGUACUCAUUCCAUGGAAGGCCGAGUGUCUGCGGGUUUUCGCUCCUUGAUUGACACAAUAAGAUCACUAAUUAGUAGGAACUCCUCACCUGGUUGUCUGUUUGGUUGGUUCAUGGAUCAGAGACCAGAUGCUACUGGAAGUGGUGUUUGAGGGCCAGUAGGAUGCACUCUUUCCUCUGAUCUAAAGGGUUUCUAAAAUCCCCAUUGGGAAAAAUAAAUGGUGAAAAAACGAUUGGAACCAUUUCCAUGUUUGACCGCUAUGUUUUAUGACUACUGUGGUACUCUAUUUUAAGCCUUGCUGAGCAGCAUGGCAGCCGAGCAGCUAGGGGCGUUGACAACGAAGGCCCUCAGUCAAACAGAAAACUGGUUUCCACAGCCACAAUCUCAGACAAGGUGACUUUUUUAUCAAUAUAUUUGCCUGUAUUUACCCCCAACAAAUAAAACGCGUAUAAGGCUAUCAUAAAGAACCACAAAUGCCAUGAUCUGGACGAGAAUGUCACUUAUUUCAUACCAACGAGAAAGAAUCUUUCAAAUAAAGGUACACUUACUGUAGAAAUUUCUCAGGGAUCCACAGGCUUUGUGCGCAUCCAGUUGACAAAUGACACUUCCUCUCCAGUUACUUACACACAGGUGUUUGGAGCAUGCAAAGGUGUGUCGAAAUUCAACCGUUACUGUUUCUCGCUGAUAUGAAAGAUACGUUCCUUAUGUUUAAACCAUACUGCAUGCGAUUAGUUUUGUCGUUAGAGACAGGGCCAUAUAGGCUACUGUGGCGUAAACAAGAAUCACAAUGAGUGUGAGUUUCCAACCUAGAGACAUCUUCAAGUAACUCAAUUUAUACAAUGAUGCUUUUUCAAUUAGACUUAGGAUUUUGGAUCAUGCUACUCUGCAUGUUAAGUAGCGUGAUCAAUUAACAUAGUGAAUUAUCACACAGAAUUUUCUGUCAUUUCCACAACUUGACUUUGAUCAAUUUCUUACAUAAUGUAAGGGGGCCAGUAUAUGAAUGCAGUAUCACAAGGUGCUCAGAGAGAGAGAACAUUUUUUGUGUAUUCAUAGAAAGAAAGCUGAAACUAAAGUUUAAUUAGCAUUUUCAUAUACAGUGUUUAGGCACCCAAUAUUGUAAGAGUCAAUAAAACCGGUGGAGGAAGAGAGAGUUUGCAGCUGUACUGACACUGGAUUAUGCAUAUGCAGCCAUGAGUCAUUCAAUAAAAUGUUUCAUGGUUUUCAAUUUCAUGAUUUGCAAUAUAUUCUUGUUGUGUAACUUGCACCUCAAGUCCAAAAACAGUAAUGUGUUUGCAUUGGGUUUGAGUUCUAUCAGAAAUAACUUUAAUUCACAAGGCUUGUGGGCUCCUGAGUGGCGCAGUGUUCUAAGGCACUCAGUGCUUGAGGCGUCACUACAGACACCCUGGUUCAAUUCAUCUGCAGACUAGCCAAUUGUAAACAACUCUUCUUACUCUAAAGUGCAAAUGCUAAUAGCCUACUGGAGAAUCCAGAUAAGAUCAUUGUCAAUGCCUCUUGUCUUUAUUCGAUCUGAUUUAUGAACCAAUGUGUGUACAAAAUAUCAAAUGGUCAGAAAUACCCACCCAUUCUUAAUCAAGAUGACUUGUUCAACUUCUUUAACAAGAGGACAAAAUGAGGAGAAAUGUUUUUGUAUUAGCUUUUUCUUGACCACUCCUUGGUUAGCCAGCAUCUGCUUCCUCAGUUUAUGCUGCAGACUGAUCAAUUUCCUCUCUAACUCUGCCCACCCAAUGUUUCAGCAUCCUUGAGCAUGUAAGUGCUGGCUCAGACGCCUGCUGCAUCUUCUUGAUGAAAUGUCAUUACUGCCAGAAGGUCAGCUUCACUGUCAAGUCUCAAGGAAGGCUUUGCCAACCCUCAUUAUUUUAUUGUGCAAUUAUAGCCUAUUACACUCAGUUACCAUGCAGAUUGUGGCCACGUAAAGUAGAAAAUGGCUACUUGGAUGUCUGACCCAGCCUUAGCACUCUGGUAUGAUAAAGAUGUUGACAGACAUCUGGAUCCAGGAUCCAAGAGAAAUUAAAUCAAAUUUUAUUUGUCACAUACACAUGGUUAGCAGAUGUUAAUGCGAGUGUAGCGAAAUGCUUGUGCUUCUAGUUCCGACGAUGCGGUAAUAACCAACGAGUAAUCUAACCUAACAAUUCCACAACUACUACCUUAUACACACAAAAGGGAUAAAGGGAUAUCCCUCCCUGUAAAGGGAUAAAGAAUAUGUACAUAAAGAUAUAUGAAUGAGUGAUGGUACAGAAAGGCAAGAUGUGGUAGAUGGUAUAGAGUACAGUAUAUACAUAUGAGAUGAGUAAUGUGGGGUAUAUAAACAUAAAGUGGCAUAGUUUAAAGUGGCUAGUGAUACAUGUAUUACAUAAAGAUGGCAAGAUGCAGUAGAUGAUAUAGAGUACAGUAUAUACAUAUACAUAUGAGAUGAGUAAUGUAGGGUAUGUAAACAUUAUAUUAAGUGGCAUUGUUUAAAGUGGCUAGUGAUAUAUUUUUCCAUCAAUUUCCAUCCAUUCCCAUUAUUAAAGUGGCUGGAGUUGAGUCAGUAUGUUGGCAGCAGCCACUAAAUGUUAGUGGUGGCUGUUUAACAGUCUGAUGGCCUUGAGAUAGGAGCUGUUUUUCAAUCUCUCCCAGCUUUGAUGCACCUGUGCUGACCUCGCCUUCUGGAUGAUAGCGGGGUAAACAGGCAGUGGCUCUGGUGGUUGUUGUCCUUGAUGAUCUUUAUGGCCUUCCUGUUACAUCGGGUGCUGUAGGUGUUCUGGAGGGCAGGUAGUUUGCCCCCGGUAAUGCGUUGUGCAGACCUCACUACCCUCUGGAGAGCCUUACGGUUGUGGGCGGAGCAGUUGCCGUACCAGGCGGUGAUACAGCCCGACAGGAUGCUCUCGAUUGUGCAUCUGUAGAAGUUUGUGAGUGCUUUUGGUGACAAGCCAAAUUUCUUCAGCCUCCUGAGGUUGAAGAGGCGCUGCUGCGCCUUCUUCACAACACUGUCUGUGUGGGUGGACCAAUUCAGUUUGUCCGUGAUGUGUACUCCGAGGAACUUAUGAGUUGGAUGAUCUAUUGUGCAAAUACUCUGAGUAGAGAUCGUUCAAUAACUAUUUUAAACAGGUCGUUAUUACUUAUUUCAACUGAAACUAUACACUCACCUCAAGAUUUAGCUGAGUAAGCAGCUGACUUGUCAUUGUGGCAGAAGAUGUACUAAUACCAGUGCUUGGGAAAUGGACAGGAUGGAGCUGUGUUGACUUAUCAAAAAUGUAUAUUUGACUGAAAGGUCUUGAUGAAAUGUGGGAUGAUUCAGUUCUCAGCAAGUGGCUAUGUGGUAAGCCCUGUUUGACAUUUGAGGACAAAUUAAUUAAAGUUGUUCAUAUUUGCUGCACAUACAAGAUACACAUGAAUUGUUUAUUGUCUAUUAUUAGUGGCUUCACCUACAAAACUCCAUUAUCAUGAUUUUAUUGUUGGGGCUUUUAUUGUAAAUCGAAUAAAACCUUUCAUCCACAGCUUU